rnacentral:rRNA from 1 species
GAUGAACGCUGGCGGCGUGCCUAAUACAUGCAAGUCGAGCGAACAGACGAGGAGCUUGCUCCUCUGACGUUAGCGGCGGACGGGUGAGUAACACGUGGAUAACCUACCUAUAAGACUGGGAUAACUUCGGGAAACCGGAGCUAAUACCGGAUAAUAUAUUGAACCGCAUGGUUCAAUAGUGAAAGACGGUUUUGCUGUCACUUAUAGAUGGAUCCGCGCCGCAUUAGCUAGUUGGUAAGGUAACGGCUUACCAAGGCAACGAUGCGUAGCCGACCUGAGAGGGUGAUCGGCCACACUGGAGCUGAGACACGGUCCAGACUCCUACGGGAGGCAGCAGUAGGGAAGCUUCCGCAAUGGGCGAAAGCCUGACGGAGCAACGCCGCGUGAGUGAUGAAGGUCUGCGGAUCGUAAAACUCUGUUAUUAGGGAAGAACAAAUGUGUAAGUAACGAUGCACGUCUGGACGGUACCUAAGCAGAAAGCCACGGUUAACUACGU